rnacentral:rRNA from 1 species
GUUUGAUCAUGGCUCAGAUUGAACGCUGGCGGCAGGCCUAACACAUGCAAGUCGAGCGGUAGAGAGAAGCUUGCUUCUCUUGAGAGCGGCGGACGGGUGAGUAAUGCCUAGGAAUCUGCCUGGUAGUGGGGGAUAACGUUCGGAAACGGACGCUAAUACCGCAUACGUCCUACGGGAGAAAGCAGGGGACCUUCGGGCCUUGCGCUAUCAGAUGAGCCUAGGUCGGAUUAGCUAGUUGGUGAGGUAAUGGCUCACCAAGGCGACGAUCCGUAACUGGUCUGAGAGGAUGACCAGCCACACUGGAACUGAGACACGGUCCAGACUCCUACGGGAGGCAGCAGUGGGGAAUAUUGCACAAUGGGCGGAAGCCUGAUGCAGCAACGCCGCGUGCGGGAUGACGGCCUUCGGGUUGUAAACCGCUUUCGCCUGUGACGAAGCGUGAGUGACGGUAAUGGGUAAAGAAGCACCGGCUAACUACGUGCCAGCAGCCGCGGUGAUACGUAGGGUGCGAGCGUUGUCCGGAAUUACUGGGCGUAAAGAGCUCGUAGGUGGUUUGUUGCGUCGUCUGUGAAAUUCCGGGGCUUAACUUCGGGGUGGCAGGCGAUACGGGCAUAACUAGAGUGCUGUAGGGGAGACUGGAAUUCCUGGUGUAGCGGUGGAAUGCGCAGAUAUCAGGAGGAACACCGAUGGCGAAGGCAGGUCUCUGGGCAGUAACUGACGCUGAGGAGCGAAAGCAUGGGGAGCGAACAGGAUUAGAUACCCUGGUAGUCCAUGCCGUAAACGAUGUCUACUAGCCGUUGGGGCCUUUGAGGCUUUAGUGGCGCAGCUAACGCGAUAAGUAGACCGCCUGGGGAGUACGGUCGCAAGAUUAAAACUCAAAGGAAUUGACGGGGACCCGCACAAGCGGUGGAUGAUGUGGAUUAAUUCGAUGCAACGCGAAGAACCUUACCUACUCUUGACAUCCAGAGAAUUUAGCAGAGAUGC